UGAAUAUUGUGACCAAGUUUGCAGCGCUGAUGUGACUGCCACCUCCCAGUGUAGCAGUGAUUGUUAGAUGCCUUUAAUUUUAAGAUUUAACUGGAUUUUAGAGAUGUUAAAAAUGUGGGGAAAAUAUAUAUUUGAUAAUUGAUGACUUAUAUGUGUGUUUAUUCCAAAUUUUUUGUUUUAAAGACUUUCUUUAUAGUCUGUGUAUGGUUUUAAUUAUCUGGGAAUUGAUUAAUCAUUUUCUUGGCAUUGCUAAAAUCUCAGUUCUCUUCUCCACUGUUGUGCCUUCUGAUUAUUUCAUUGCUUGUCAGUCCUUUCACCAAAAAGCAGUAGUACUGGUGAAACAAUUAGUAGAUGAUGGAGACUAAAGACUAAAAUGAAGCCAUGGUCCACUAGGCUUUUAGUUUUUUAUGAUCACAUUUUGUUACCUUCUAGUUGAGAGUUGAAUAUGUUUUUCAACUUAAAAGAAAUGUAAAAGUUAAAUAAAUUCUUAACUUUUUUUGAGUAAGAAAAUGUUCUAUACAACUGUAUUGUUUUAUGAAUAACACCUAAAUACUAAACCAUACCUCCCCCUUUUUUAUACAGAUCUCGAUUGGGCUGCCAAAUCUGUUUGACAAAGUCUAUGGACAAUAUGACUGUUCAAGUACCGGAUGCCAUGUCUGAUGCCAGACAAUCCAUCGAUAUGGGCAAGAACUCCUAAGAUAGAAUAAAUGGGAAUAUUUUCACAAAAUGUUACCUAUUUUUAUAAUUAUUAUUUCUUAAUUAAAUGAGAGCAUGGAUGAAUGAGUUUACUGUGAUGACCUGCUUUACUACUUUAAUUCACCUUGUAUAAUUACUGAAUUUUGUAGUCCGAACGUAUGCAAUCUUUGUUUUGUUUAAAUUAUAAAAAGCAAAUCAAAUAUUAGAAAACAUAUGAUAAAAUGGCACAUAUUUUACCUUAUGUUUGUUUAGCAACUUUAGCAAAAUGUUUCCAUAUAAAUUCUUUGCCUAUUUGCCUGUAAAGUAGGUUUAAAAAGGCACUAUCCCUGUGAGAUGCGGGUGAAGGCAGAGAUCCAAGAGUGAAUUAGAAAAUCUGUACCAGAACCCACAUCCUGUUACUACAAAUUUUACAAAUUUAAUGUUUAGAUUGAAACUGGAGAAAUUAUGAAUAUCUUAUUUAUAGUGGUAAUUAAUGUGAAUGUGAAUGGAAAAAAACUGUUGCUUCAUUCACUGAUUAAUUUCAAAGACAGUUGUAACCUUAUAAAUAAAUAUUUCAAAAUUUUAUUCAGUGAAAAGUGUAAGUCUGAGCAUAGGCAAUGUAACCCUGUCAAAUAAGUCUGGUCUCAACCUUUUAAGAAGGGCUAGUUUACUGUUGUUUUGUUUUUUGAAAGAAGUUUGGACUAAACUGGAGGAAUGAACAAAAAAUUAGGUGUCUUUAUUCUUUUCUGUCCUAAGCAGAAUGGUGUGUCUUUGUAAUAUUUAAAAAAUAAUGCUGAUCUAUAAAUCUCUGCCUGUAACAAAAUAGAGGUCUUCUGGGUUAGGUUUUCUCUGUCCUGAGCCGCAGAAGGAAAUGAGCAGACUCACACACUGCACAGCUGGGCAGGGGCGAGCCCCUUCCACCAGGACAGAGCUGCGCGGUGUGCAGUGAGCUCGUCAGCGUGCAUCGUCCCGGAGAUGCGGGGAUGGCUCGAUCACCACAGAUGACCAGUUACGCAUAGCAAGCAUUUAUAUCUUUGUCUUUACUCCGAGUACCCUGGUAAAUGAUAUAAAAGGGUUUGCAGUGUCUCUUGUAAAUAUAAUAAAACAUCAACUAGCUUGGACUAAUCACGGGGAAGGGCAGAACAAAUAAAAGGAAAAAAUGAACUAUAAGGCCCUUGAGUUAGCUUCAGGCACAUCUGUGCAGUUUGAUCAUUUGCACAAAUAUUGGUUAAGUGCAGUAAUUGACCUACAACAUUUUGUUGUGCCCAUUGGGGAAUACAGAGGUGAAAAAGAUAAGGAUGCCCUCCGGGAGCUCACCUUUUAUUAGGAAAAGAUAAAAUAUAUGUAUACACGAAUAAUUUGCUUGAACUUAGCCGACCAAUUUGCCAAAUAGAAUACUUAAAGCUAACACGUAAAAAAUGAUUCAGAAGAAUUUAGGGGAAUGUUCAUUUGACAUUUUAUAACUAUCGAGUGCCUUCUAUGUGGAGAGCUUUAAAAUGAAGUACUUUAAAAUAAUUUGUUCUCUUAAUUAGCUUCAGUAUUCCCCUUUCAUUCUUUCGUGGAUUACCUAAACUUUCCUUCCCAGAACUCUUAAUGAUGACAUUCAGCCUAAACACUAAAAUUUAGAUUCUAAUUUUCUCAGAUUUCAAAAUACAAAAAUUUAUACUAAUGAAGUUUAAUUGUAUCACUUAAAUAAAACCUACCAAACUUAUUAAAUGGAGGAUAUAUCCUAAAUUGGUUGGUAUAAAGAUUAUUGUUUUCAGUUUGAAAAACAAUUCUUUCAUGUUUAAUAGUGUGUGCAUUCAGGUAACUGUUAGUUGUCUAUUACUGCAAAACAAAUUGCCCCAAAACUUAGUGGCUUACGACAACAAUGAUCUCCAUUUGUAUGGGCAGGAAUUCACAGUGCAGAGCAGGAUGGCUCAUCACUGCUUCACAACGUCCGUCUGUAGCCUAAGCUGGAAGACAGAAAGGCCCGGUGCUGCAGCCAUCUGCAGACUGAUGAUCCCCUCACGUGACUGCACGUGGAUGCUGGUGUCAGCUAGGGAUCUAGUAGAGGCUCUUGACUGGAACACCCACACGUGGCCUCUCUGUGUGGCCUGGGUGUCCUCACAACGAUGGCUGGGUUCUAAGAGCCAGCACCAUGAGAAAGCUUGCAUUCCAGGCAGAAGCGUAUUGUGGUUAACCACAUUUUGUAAAAGGUGGAAGAUUUCUACAUUCUGAAGAAUAAGGUAAACUGCAUUUUAGAUCAGAAUUUGUUAGAUGGCUUUCUUAUUUAUAGGGUAACUUAUAAUUCAAUGAAAUAAAAAAAUAGUAAUGUGUUUUAUGGACAUUUAAAAUAAUAUAUGAAACCUAUUCUAAGUAUAAGCCAUUCAAAGACAUUCAAACAUUACAUAUCAACUUUGUUUCCUAUUACAGACAUAUUUAAGAAUAGAAAUAAUGUCCUGGUUAAGCAACCAAAGGAUUCCUUUAAUGUGUCAACACUUCGCAUGAUAUCAAGUUAUUUUUAUCAGAUUUUUUUCUGUUUAUAAGUUUUUAGAAACUGAAAAAUUAGGAAAGCAGCUGGAGGUGGAAGGCGUGGUCACUUGCAGACAAGUAAAUGUGGGCUGUACCAGAACAGAAACAGGGAGCUAAAAGGUAAUCUAAACCUCCCAGAAGCACCUUAGGAGGCAAGUGGACAGGAAAGAUCUUCAGAGUGAGUGGCGUAACUUCUGCAAAAACUGUUAGCAGUAAAUCAUCUGAUCAGUGUCUUCUCUCUCUUUUUGACUCCCAUUUGUUCAUCUUAUUAUCUGGAUGUAUUCUUUGUCAUUUUAUUUUUAGACUUGAGUAUUGUAAAAUGAAGUGGGGCCAUUGUGCCUUCGUGGCUC